CUCCAAUAGACCCGAGACGCUGCUGGCUACUCUGUGAUUCAAAGGGCAGGCAACCCCAGUAGGACGCGCUCAGAGAAGCGAGAGGGGGGAUUUGAUGCAGAUGAUCAUCAUGGCUUGGAGAAACAAUGAAGGAAGCAAAGUAUGCCAUCUAUGCUGCGGGAGGUGAAUAGGGAGGGAAGGUUUAAAAGAAUCUACUCAGAACUGAAGGAGCCAAGACUCUGUGGGUGCAUUUGAAACAACCUGGCAUUUUUGGGAAACUGCCAGGAGUUCCACAAGGCUGAAGAGCAGCCUGAGAAGGGAGAAGGAACGAGUUUGGACUUUUAACUGAGGGCCAUUGGAAACUACUGAAGAGUUUUAGGCAGCAUAAGAACUACUAGAUUUUCAUUGUGGGAGGAUCCUCAGCAGCAGCCUCAGAAAGGAGAUUGGGGAAGGAGAUCCCUAGUCAGGGAGACCAAGAAGACUACUGGAAAAAAACAGGGGAAUCCUCAAGGACCUGCAAACAAGAAACCAAAUCCCCCCACUCCCCCCAGCCAAAAUGUGUUCAUUUUGACCAGCUGUGUGUGUGUUUUAAAUUAAAAGUUUGAAUUAGAAAGCAAGUAGGAUAAAUUUAUAUACUUAGAUGUAUAAAUUUAAAUACCUGGCCCCUGAAGCACUUCUGAUAGGUCUCAGCUACCCAAACAAGAAGAACGGAAUCUUUGAAUCCCCAGGACUCAACGCAGUACUGGACACAAAAUGGGAGCUGAAAAAGUGUGUGUGGAGUCAGUGAAGGAUGCAAUUUCCCCUCAUUGUAGAGAUGAAGAAGCUGAGGCUGCAGAGUAGAAUAGGAGCAGACAGUGGGGAUUGUCUUCAAAGUAGGUUCCUAGUUCCUGGCUCAGAGGUCCCAGUUUUUGUUGACCAUGGACAGUAAAACUCCCUGGGGAAGCGGGCCCAGUCUCAGGAGAGCAGUUUUGAUUGGUCUAAGUUUGUGAUUGACUUAGGAACUGUCUGGCCAAUGAAAUAUGAGGGAAAGCCUGGGGGAUUCUGGGAAAGGUUUUGUAAACCAAAAAGUAUUUGAGACAUGUCUCAAUUUUAGAGGAUUAUUUUGCCAAGGUUAAGGACCAUUGCCCAUACAGCCUCAGGAGGCCCUGAGAACAUAUACCCAAGGUGGUUGGGGUACAGCUUCAUUUUAUACAUUUUAGGGAGUCAGAAGUUACAGGCAAAGACAUAAAUCAAUACAUGCAAGGUAUACAUUGGUUUGGCCCAGAGAGGUGGAACAUCUAGAAGCAGGAGCUUCCAGGUCAUAAGUGGAUUCAAAGAUUUCCUGAUUGGCAGUUUGUUGACAGAGUUAAGCUCCGCCCCAAGAGUUGAUGUCAGCUUAAAUUAAGGUAAGGGGGUGCUUUGUGGAAACCAACGUUCUUAUCAUGUAUAUGAAGCCUCCAGGCUUCAGCGAGAAUAGAUGUGAAUGUCUUUUAUUGGACCUUAAAAAUUGUCAGACUUUCUGGAAAAGACCUAAUAAGGGAAUCUUUACAGAACAUAAUUUUUUCACCCACAAGUGACAGCUUGGCAGGGCCGUUUCAAAAUAUGUAAAGAAAUAUAAUUUGAGGUAAAAUAAUUUGAUUUCCUUCAGGGCCCACUGGCUGUCACGUGAUGUUAUACCAGAGUCAGAUUGGAAUCUGUUGUCUUACUGCUACCAAGAUUUUGUCUUGACAGUCUUAAGAUUCCUGUUUUAAUGUCAGUUCUGGUCAGUUGUGUCUAAACUCAAAAGGAAGGAGGGUAUAAUGAGGCAUGUUUCACCCCCUCUUUCCCAUCAUGGCCUGAACUAGUUUUUCAGGUGUUUUUUUGAAUCCCUUUGGCCAAGGGGGAUCCAUUCAGUCAGCUGAGGGGCUUAGAAUUUUAUUUUUGGUUUAUAGUUUCCUCUUGAUUAAAGAAGGAAGUCUGCAAUGUGGGUUUGUAACCUAGUUUUUAAUAACUUUACAUCAGACUUGUAAUUUAUUGUUACUUUCUGAAGACACACUGAUAAAACCUCUCUACCAUGACGUCAUUGCAUGUUUUCACGGUAGAAAUUCUAAUUAUUUGCUAAAGUGAAAAUAAAGUCAAACAUGCCUAA
rnacentral:lncRNA from 1 species